rnacentral:lncRNA from 1 species
CUGUUUGCAGAGAAUUUGUGUUAUUUCAGUGAAAUGUUACCACAGAGUUUUUUGUAUCUGUACAAUCAGUAUCUGAUUGUUUCAUUGUGUUUUUCAUGUUUCACAGCUCCAACCACUUCAAAACCAAAGAGGAAAACCACCACCAAAGCACCUUUUACACCAUCAGUCCCAUCAGCCUCCACACCGACAACAACACAGAGUUUAAGCUCCAGUUCAGGAAGCUCCACACCUUCAUCAUCCUCCCCUGAAACCACCAACCAGCCUGAACAGCAACAGAGAGCUGCAGGUCCAGGUUUACUGCUGUAUGUGAGUCUGACUCUGGUUGUCAUGAUCAUCGUAUUAUCAGCGGCUGUGCUGAUAUUCUGCAGGAAGAGGGCCAGUAAACCCAAAGAACCUCCUGUGGAAACUGAGUAUGCUAAUGGGACAGAGGCCAACAGAGUGUAUGAGGAGAUCAGAGAGGAGGACAGACAGAGCAGAUCUCCUUCUGCAGAAAUAUCUACAGCUUACACUUACGCCAAAUACUCCAAACCAGAUGCAGUUGAAACCACAGAUGAGUACAGCCUUAUCACUGCAGCCGGUCCCCAGAACCAAACUGAAGACGACCUGAGUAAACUCACCUACUCUGAGGUGGAUUUCUCCAACGGUGCAGCUGCCUCGCCCAACAGCGCCCUCUGUGGUGAUGCAGAUAACGUGGUCUACUCUGUGCCUCGGUCAGACGCGAGCUAG